ACGUGAUAGGCUUAGUCUGUAGAGCAUGUGAGCCUUGAUCUCAGGGUCGUGAGUUCAAGUCCCACAUUGGGUA
rnacentral:tRNA from 1 species